rnacentral:rRNA from 1 species
UGUUUCCUACGGGGCGCAGCAGUGGGGAAUAUUGCACAAUGGGGGAAACCCUGAUGCAGCGACGCCGCGUGAGUGAAGAAGUAACUCGUUAUGUAAAGCUCUAUCAGCAGGGAAGAAACAGACGGUACCUGAGUAAGAAGCCCCGGCUAACUACGUGCCAGCAGCCGCGGUAAUACGUAGGGGGCAAGCGUUAUCCGGAUUUACUGGGUGUAAAGGGAGCGUAGACGGCUGUGCAAGUCUGAAGUGAAAGCCCGUGGCUCAACCGCGGAACUGCUUUGGAAACUGUAUAGCUUGAGUACUGGAGA